GAUGAACGCUGGCGGCGUGCCUAAUACAUGCCAGUCGAGCGAACAGACGAGGAGCUUGCUCCUCUGACGUUAGCGGCGGACGGGUGAGUAACACGUGGAUAACCUACCUAUAAGACUGGGAUAACUUCGGGAAACCGGAGCUAAUACCGGAUAAUAUAUUGAACCGCAUGGUUCAAUAGUGAAAGACGGUUUUGCUGUCACUUAUAGAUGGAUCCGCGCCGCAUUAGCUAGUUGGUAAGGUAACGGCUUACCAAGGCAACGAUGCGUAGCCGACCUGAGAGGGGGAUCGCCCAACCGGGAAUGAGAAACGGGUCAGAAUCCUAAGGGAGGGAGCGAGGGGGAAUGUUUGCGAAAGGGGGGAAGGCCGAACGAGGAAAGCCGCGGGGAGGAAUAAGGGUUUUGGGAUCUAAAAACCUUUUUUUUGGGAAAAAACAAAUGUGGAAAAAACCCGGGGCGUCUUAAGGGUCCGUAAGCAGAAGGCCCCGGUAAACACGGG
rnacentral:rRNA from 1 species